rnacentral:rRNA from 1 species
GUGAACGCUGGCGGUAGGCCUAACACCUGCCAGUCGAACGGCAGCACAGUAAGAGCUUGCUCUUACGGGUGGCGAGUGGCGGACGGGUGAGGAAUACAUCGGAAUCUACUUUUUCGUGGGGGAUAACGUAGGGAAACUUACGCUAAUACCGCAUACGACCUACGGGUGAAAGCAGGGGAUCUUCGGACCUUGCGCGAUUGAAUGAGCCGAUGUCGGAUUAGCUAGUUGGCGGGGUAAAGGCCCACCAAGGCGACGAUCCGUAGCUGGUCUGAGAGGAUGAUCAGCCACACUGGAACUGAGACACGGUCCAGACCCCUACGGGAGGCAGCAGUGGGGAAUAUUGGACAAUGGGCGCAAGCCUGAUCCAGCCAUACCGCGUGGGUGAAGAAGGCCUUCGGGUUGUAAAGCCCUUUUGUUGGGAAAGAAAAGCAGCAGGUUAAUACCCCGCUGUUCUGACGGUACCCAAAGAAUAAGCACCGGCUAACUUCGUG